rnacentral:tRNA from 1 species
GGGUGAUUAGCUCAGUUGGUUUAGAGCACUACCUUGACAGGGUAGGGGUCGUUGGUUCGAAUCCAAUAUCACUCA